rnacentral:rRNA from 1 species
GACGAACGCUGGCGGCGUGCCUAACACAUGCAAGUCGAGCGGAGUCGAUCGACGGAAGCCUUCGGGCGGAAGAUGGUUGACUUAGCGGCGGAUGGGUGAGUAACGCGUGGGCAACCUGCCUCGAAGACCGGGAUAACGGCCCGAAAGGGCUGCUAAUACCGGAUGUGGUCAAAGAUCCGCAUGGAUUUUUGAUUAAAGGGGAAACCCGUUUCGAGAUGGGCCCGCGUCCUAUCAGCUAGUUGGUGAGGUAAAAGCUCACCAAGGCGACGACGGGUAGCCGGCCUGAGAGGGUGACCGGCCACACUGGAACUGAGACACGGUCCAGACUCCUACGGGGGCAGCAGUGGGGAAUCUUCCACAAUGGGCGAAAGCCUGAUGGAGCGACGCCGCGUGAGCGAAGAAGGCCUUCGGGUUGUAAAGCUCUGUCUGGAGGGACGAAGGAAGUGACGGUACCUCCGGAGGAAGCCACGGCUAACUACGUGCCAGCGGCCGCGGUAAAAGUGUGUGUA